ACAACCCUCAGGCCCCCGGGCCUGGCGUUGGGGAUCGGCGAGGCGCCCCCUGCGGGCACACGCCGUCCCCCAAAUACAGUGGCGGUCCCGCCGCAGCUUCCAUUGCGUAGUAGCUAACACCUCGCAACUGGAGAGCGGCGCGGCCACGCCGUAAAACACCCAACUUCUGAAUGUUGA
rnacentral:misc_RNA from 1 species